UCACCAAAGUUAAGCAACGUCGAGCCUGGUCAGUACUUAGAUGGGUUAACGCUUGGGAAUACCACGUGCUGCAUG